rnacentral:rRNA from 1 species
GAAUGCUGACAUAAGUAACGAUAAAGCGGGUGAAAAGCCCGCUCGCCGGAAGACCAAGGGUUCCUGUCCAACGUUAAUCGGGGCAGGGUGAGUCGACCCCUAAGGCGAGGCCGAAAGGCGUAGUCGAUGGGAAACAGGUUAAUAUUCCUGUACUUGGUGUUACUGCGAAGGGGGGACGGAGAAGGCUAUGUUGGCCGGGCGACGGUUGUCCCGGUUUAAGCGUGUAGGCUGGUUUUCCAGGCAAAUCCGGAAAAUCAAGGCUGAGGCGUGAUGACGAGGCACUACGGUGCUGAAGCGACAAAUGCCCUGCUUCCAGGAAAAGCCUCUAAGCAUCAGGUAACAUCAAAUCGUACCCCAAACCGACACAGGUGGUCAGGUAGAGAAUACCAAGGCGCUUGAGAGAACUCGGGUGAAGGAACUAGGCAAAAUGGUGCCGUAACUUCGGGAGAAGGCACGCUGAUAUGUAGGUGAAGCGACUUGCUCGUGGAGCUGAAAUCAGUCGAAGAUACCAGCUGGCUGCAACUGUUUAUUAAAAACACAGCACUGUGCAAACACGAAAGUGGACGUAUACGGUGUGACGCCUGCCCGGUGCCGGAAGGUUAAUUGAUGGGGUUAGCGGUAACGCGAAGCUCUUGAUCGAAGCCCCGGUAAACGGCGGCCGUAACUAUAACGGUCCUAAGGUAGCGAAAUUCCUUGUCGGGUAAGUUCCGACCUGCACGAAUGGCGUAAUGAUGGCCAGGCUGUCUCCACCCGAGACUCAGUGAAAUUGAACUCGCUGUGAAGAUGCAGUGUACCCGCGGCAAGACGGAAAGACCCCGUGAACCUUUACUAUAGCUUGACACUGAACAUUGAGCCUUGAUGUGUAGGAUAGGUGGGAGGCUUUGAAGUGUGGACGCCAGUCUGCAUGGAGCCGACCUUGAAAUACCACCCUUUAAUGUUUGAUGUUCUAACGUGGGCCCCUUACCGGGGUUGCGGACAGUGUCUGGUGGGUAGUUUGACUGGGGCGGUCUCCUCCUAAAGAGUAACGGAGGAGCACGAAGGUUGGCUAAUCCUGGUCGGACAUCAGGAGGUUAGUGCAAUGGCAUAAGCCAGCUUGACUGCGAGCGUGACGGCGCGAGCAGGUGCGAAAGCAGGUCAUAGUGAUCCGGUGGUUCUGAAUGGAAGGGCCAUCGCUCAACGGAUAAAAGGUACUCCGGGGAUAACAGGCUGAUACCGCCCAAGAGUUCAUAUCGACGGCGGUGUUUGGCACCUCGAUGUCGGCUCAUCACAUCCUGGGGCUGAAGUAGGUCCCAAGGGUAUGGCUGUUCGCCAUUUAAAGUGGUACGCGAGCUGGGUUUAGAACGUCGUGAGACAGUUCGGUCCCUAUCUGCCGUGGGCGCUGGAGAACUGAGGGGGGCUGCUCCUAGUACGAGAGGACCGGAGUGGACGCAUCACUGGUGUUCGGGUUGUCAUGCCAAUGGCACUGCCCGGUAGCUAAAUGCGGAAGAGAUAAGUGCUGAAAGCAUCUAAGCACGAAACUUGC